GCUCUUGGCUCCGGGGCCGGGAGCUGCAGGGAGGGCUCCGUGUGGGGCAGGCCCCCCGCAGGAGCUGGAGCUGGGGCGCAGGGCAGCGUGCGGCCACAGGACAAGGAGUCAGGGGCUCCCGCUCCCUCCGCCUGGCUCCGGGUAGCCGAGGGCCAGGCGCCGCAUCCGUGCCCCGUUUCACCCCCCAUGGCGCUGCCACGGCCAGGGCAGCCCAAGAAACCCUGCUCUGGUUAUUUUAUUUGGUGUCCCCCCCCAUCCCAUCCCAUCCCAUCUUCCUUUGGCCGAGUCCAGACUUUGCUUUGGUCCCUUUUUUGUUCUGGUUCUUUGCUCUCCCGGCCUGGAGCCUGUGGCUCAGUGCCCGUUGCUUCCCCGUAAGCAGCUCCCUUUCCCUUUGGAUUCUUUUACAGCUACCGGUUCCACUACUCAAACCACCUCUGUCACAAAACUGGUGCUCACUGGACAAUCUCCAGUCCCUGAACCCACCUCCCGGGGCCUCACAGCUUGGCUGAGAUGGGACAUGGCAGCCAAGGGCAGCGCGAUGCUUCCGGAGCAUCCCCUCGCCUGGUGCCUCCCUGCUCCCUAAAAGCACAAGGCAGGGUCUGGCCCUGGGGAUGGGGUCUCCCACCAGGCCAGGAUCCCAUGGGCAUCCCAUCUCCGAGGGACCUGGGGCAUGGAAACCUUGCAAAGAAGUCUAAAAGGAAGCCAGGAAAAGGCUUUGAGGAUAUUCCCAAAGACAGCAACAAAUCCAGCCCUGCACCAAGUCAGCUCCUGCUGCCCACGCUGCCCGCACCAACUGGCAUGUCUCUUCUCGGUCGUCUGUCUAACACCAUUGGAUUCAAUAAAGUUGUCUCCUGUUCCACCUGGCUCCUGGUCCUGUGUCCGGCCUAGUCCUGUGCAGGGAAUGAUGGGAUGGUUGUGCCUAUGCAGCCACCCCUGGCCUCUGAAAUCCAGGAGGAGGGCUUGGAAAUGCUCCUGGGUUGAAAUCGUGGCUCUUUUGUGAGAUGCUGGGAGUGGUGUUGGGAUGGGGAACCCUUCUCUGUGCUCCUAUUGGGUCUGGAGGGUGCAGAAGUGCUCCUGGUUUGAGAUCCUGGUGGAUCUGGGAGAUGCUGAAUCCUGGGGGAUACCUGUGGGGGGGCAGAUUGUACCUGAGUGUGCAGAGGACGAGUGGGACCCCGUGAGCCCCUUUCACCUUGCCGGGGCAGGUCCCCUCCUCCUCCUUGGGAGGGCCACAGUGGAUGCCACCUCCAGCACAGGGGGGUGGAUGUGAGUGCUCUGUCCCACUGCAGGACAUGAGGGGAGGAUGAGAGGGCCAACAGCAGCGGACCGAAGGGAGAUCCCGUCCUCCCAGGAUGGCUCAGAGCUGUUUCCACUCCCGAGAGUGAUGCUGGAGCAGGGACAGAUGCUCCAGGAGUUC
rnacentral:lncRNA from 14 species